rnacentral:rRNA from 1 species
CAGUAGCCGCGGGAAUACAGAGGAUGCAAGCGUUAUCCGGAAUGAUUGGGCGUAAAGCGUCUGUAGGUGGCUUUUCAAGUCCGCCGUCAAAUCCCAGGGCUCAACCCUGGACAGGCGGUGGAGACUACCAAGCUGGAGUACGGUAGGGGCAGAGGGAAUUUCCGGUGGAGCGGUGAAAUGCGUUGAGAUCGGGAAGAACACCAACGGCGAAAGCACUCUGCUGGGCCGACACUGACACUGAGAGACGAAAGCUAGGGGAGCAAAUGGGAUUAGAUACCCCCGUAGUCCCUGUCUCUUAUAC